GUUUAAAAAGCCGAGGUUUGGGUCUGUUUGGUGUCUGCUUUUGUGGGGAAGUGGUGAUCCUCGGUGGAAGCCAUCGUCUUCGAACGCAUUCUGCAAUAGAUGUGAGUUUGUUUGCAGGUCUUUGCAGGUGAUUUCAGAGCUUUGUCCAUGUGAAACGUGAAGUUGAAUGACCGCUUUUAAAUAUGGUCGUGGUGGAGAUACACACGGCCAACCCGUGGAAGUGUGCCGUGAUCCGUGAUUUGAGGAGACCGUGCCUGACUGAAAGCGCAAAGACGAAUGCCACGGGCCGCGUCUCCGUUGCGGUUGACGCGUCAUUGUUUUUCAACGGCAAAAUUGAAGAGCGAACGC